rnacentral:rRNA from 1 species
UACGUAGGGUGCAAGCGUUGUCCGGAAUUAUUGGGCGUAAAGAGCUCGUAGGCGGUUUGUUGCGUCGGCUGUGAAAUCCCGAGGCUCAACCUCGGGUCUGCAGUCGAUACGAGCAAACUAGAGUGUUGCAGGGGAGACUGGAAUUCCUGGUGUAGCGGUGAAAUGUGCAGAUAUCAGGAGGAACACCGGUGGCGAAGGCGGGUCUCUGGGCAACAACUGACGCGGAGGAGCGAAAGCGUGGGGAGCGAACAGG